rnacentral:lncRNA from 1 species
CAAAUCUAACUUUUGGCAAUUGUAUCUCUCAAUUUUUUUUCCCAACUUGUCAGCUAAAUUUACCUGUAAGGAAUUUAAGAUUUUAAGCACUAUAAGAUCCGAACACUGAGCCUUUAAUCUUUAAACGAUAUGCCAAUUCCAUAUAGCACUUAUCACACAAAAUAUAUGAAAGCAUAGUGCUUUAUAUGGAUCGUUGUGCACUAGAUUGAUACAUCUCAUGCUUAAGUUAAAGAAAAAGCUUGCAGACAUGGGAGGAGGGAAACUUUUUUUUUUGUACAUCUUUUUCUUUUUCCAUGUACGUUAUGUAUGUGACAUGUAUGUGUUCUGACUGUACAAUGUAGUACUCAUGUAGUUUGAAUAUCUUGUUACAAAUUAGAAUUUCCCUGUUAGACAUUGGUUCUUGAGCAAUUCUUUUCUUUAUAUUUGUUGCUUAGACAUUGAAGACUUACACACAGAAAGAGGUCUCCCUACAUAAUAAGAGAGAUGAUUGUUGGAUCAUUGUCAAAGGAAAGGUUGUAUGAUGUAGUUUGUAUUCACACUAUUUUUUCUUUAAAGUUUCAUGAUAGCAAAAUAGUCUGCUUCACAAAGCAAUAUCUUUGCUCUCUGUGUAGGUGUAUGAUGUUACUCCAUAUGUGGAGGAACAUCCAGGUGGCGAUGCUAUACUAAACAAUGCUGGAGGUGAUUCAACCGAGGGAUUUUACGGGUCUGUGCCUGUUAUGGAAAGUCAUGUUUUAUUUUUCGUAAAUAACAUGUUGUUGUAAGUUAAACUUUGAUUGGUGUUACUUUGCAGAAUGACCUUCUUUCCAGCCUUUUUUGCUUGCACUAUAAUCAUCAAAACUUUCUUUACUCCAAUUCUGAUAAUUGAAAUAUAGAAACUUUUAACAAUUUGAUGAUAUCCUACCAAUGAUUCUUUGUUAAUAUAUCUGUUACAUGUGUUACUUGCCUUGUGUUUUCAGUCAGUUGGCUCCAGGCAGCCCACAACAUGCUACUCGUGUCUUUGACAUGGUUGAUGAGUUCUACGUUGGGGACCUGAAGAGCUGAAGUUUAAGCUAUCUGAACGGCUGAUGUAUGCGAAGUCCCACCUGUAUUUUUGUCUCAAUCCAUCUGAAUAGUAGGACAAUGUCAAGCAUUGAGUGGAAUUUAUCAAAAUCAAAUAUGAGUGCAUCAUGAUCAAAUAUCAUCAAGCUGAUCACUCUUUCCCGCAAUUUAACUUUUUCGAAACUCAGGACUUCCUCUUCUCUAUUAGCUUGAGUCUUAAAAUAGAUAGGAGUUUGACAAGAUCUGGCUUAGGCUUUGCUUCAUCAUCUGUCCAUGGAACAUGCUUGUCUAUUAAUAAUUUAAUAUAUAGAAAAAUACCUUUUGAUCUAAAGCAGGCUUUUUCUGUUGGUUAAUAACCCAUAAAAGUUAUUAGUAUUUUUGUUAGGUAGAAUAAUUUAGUUAUAGCUGAAUGGUCGGGAAAUCUCAUUUUGAUGAAAUCUGAUUGACUUAUACUAUUUUUUAGAUGACAAGAAAUGUAAUACUACCUUAAUUUUAUUUUCCUUUUAAAAUUUUCACCUUGUUACUCCUGGGGUAUUUAAUUUUCUCUUUUCUGUUUCUGCAGGCCACAACAUGCUACUCGUGUCUUUGACAUGGUUGAUGAGUUCUACGUUGGGGACCUGAAGAGCUGAAGUUUAAGCUAUCUGAACUCUGAAACUUAGAAAAAUUCCGUGAGCUCCACAUCAAAUGCCUUCGAGAGUAUUGCAGGCCUAAUUCAAAAC